rnacentral:tRNA from 1 species
ACUUUACGAUUACAUCAGUAUUUCUGACUUCCAAUCAGAUGGUCUUAGCGAAAAUCUAAGGUAAAGUA